UUGCUUCUGAUGCUUAUUGCACCACAUGUGUUUUUUAUUGAACAAAUUUCUUUGGUGGCGGGAGCAAUCCUACCGCCAGAGGUUAUAACUAAACCAAACUUUUUAUUUACAGUCAAACUUGAUUUAUUAUUACAAUAGUCAAAACUUUCAACAACGGAUCUCUUGGUUCUCGCAUCGAUGAAGAACGCAGCGAAAUGCGAUACGUAAUAUGAAUUGCAGAUAUUCGUGAAUCAUCGAAUCUUUGAACGCACAUUGCGCCCUUUGGUAUUCCAAAGGGCAUGCCUGUUUGAGCGUCAUUUCUCCCUCAAACCCCCGGGUUUGGUGUUGAGCAAUACGCUAGGUUUGUUUGAAAGAAUUUAACGUGAAAACUUAUUUUAAGCGACUUAGGUUUAUCCAAAAACGCUUAUUUUGCUAGGGGCCACCACAAUUUAUUUCAUAACUUUGACCUCAAAUCAGGUAGGACUACCCGCUGAACUUAAGCAUAUCAUAACCGGGAGAAA
rnacentral:rRNA from 1 species